GACGUAGGGCGCGAGCGUUGUCCGGAUUUAUUGGGCGUAAAGAGCUCGUAGGCGGUUUGUCGCGUCUGCCGUGAAAGUCCGGGGCUCAACCCCGGGAGGCGGAUGGAUACUGCAAGGCUCGAGUCCGGAAGAGGCAAGUGGAAUUCCCGGUGUAGCGGUGAAAUGCGCAGAUAUCGGGAGGAACACCAAUGGCGAAGGCAGCUUGCUGGGACGGUACUGACGCUGAGACGCGAAAGCGUGGGGAGCAAACAGG
rnacentral:rRNA from 1 species